UACGUAGGGGGCAAGCGUUGUCCGGAAUCAUUGGGCGUAAAGAGCUCGUAGGCGGUUCGAUAAGUCGGACGUGAAAUCUCCACGCUCAACGUGGAGGGGCCGUUCGAUACUGUCGUGACUCGAGUCCGGUAGGGGAGUGUGGAAUUCCCGGUGUAGCGGUGAAAUGCGCAGAUAUCAGGAGGAACACCGGUGGCGAAGGCGGGUCUCUGGGCAACAACUGACGCUGAGGAGCGAAAGCGUGGGGAGCGAACAGG
rnacentral:rRNA from 1 species